CCUCCAUUUCUUGGUACACACUUGUUAACUUCAGUACUUGUGUUUUUAAUGUACGUAGGCAGAGAAAUGCCAGUGCUAUGUCUUCAGUGCCAGUGUGUCGUCUGCUGGUUCUAUCCUCAGUCAAUGGGGCAGCC